UGAUUGUCCAUUCGCAGUUCUUGUUCGCGUUCUUCCAAGAACUGUGCGUGGACGUCAGU
rnacentral:pre_miRNA from 1 species